CAUCAUUUAAUUAUUAUUUGUGACAUUUCAACUACAUUUUAGAUAUUAUAGAAAUAUAUGCAAAUAUAUGUAAAAGUAUAAACAUAAAAAUCAGAAAGUGUUUAAAAAUUAUCACAUUUUAUUUUGAAAUAAUAUAGGACUCACUGAAGUUGUAAAAAUAAUUCGGAGAGAUCCCCUGUACCCUUCACCCGGCUUUCCCCAAAGACAGCAUUUCACAUAACCACAGCACAUUCUAAACAUUAGGAAAUUGAUUCAAUAUUGUUAACUCAGUUAGAGGCUUUAUUCAGGCUUCAGCAGUUUUACAUGCACUCUUUUCUGGGGUGUAUAAUAACAUGUAGAAAUGCAUAAAACACCAGCGUUAAGAAAGCAUCUCUCACCAAUGAAUAUUGAUGAUAUGCAAGAUUCUCAGACAAUGUGGUUUUACGCAUCUUGUGAUUGACUAAAAGAGAAGUAGAGCUGGUUGCAUUUAGGAAGGUCCUUUAUACCUAAUUGCUUUAGCCAUACGUUAAUUAACUAAUCAAUUAAUCAAUCCGAAUCAAGUGCCAACUAUGAGCCAGCCUCUUUGAUAAAGUGGAGACGCAAAGAUGGAAACUCAAAUUGGAUCCAUAUUAAAGAAGAGAAGGAUGGAUUUGUUUAGACAACACAAACCUAGGAAGGGUUUGAGAGGUGAAACAAACUGGGUUAUGGAUGAACGGGGGCAAUUGGAAUGUAGAAUUGAAGCAGUAAUUAACAUCUUGGCUUUGAUAAUGCACCAACUGCAAGUGGAUUCAUUGGCUCUGUGUCAGCUGGUGCAUGUAGGAAGCUGAAGAAUAUUUUCUUGCCAACGUUUUGGCAAGACUUAUUUUUUCCCGGGGGGUGGGCGCAAGGGUGCAAUCCAAUAAUAAUUAAAAAAAAGACUGUAUAACCAUUGUGUAGGAAGAGCUUCAGCCACCCUACAGCCGAGAGCGAGUUGGUCUUCCACAAGUCACUGGGGGAGAUGAAGGGUACACUGUAGUCAGGUGGAGUCUCUUUGGGCCUAAAAUCACUAUAGGACACUUUUCCAAAGUACCCUGGUGUCUUCAGUGAUCCUGAGUGCUGGCACUUGCACUUUGUCACUACAUCCAUCCCAGAGCU
rnacentral:lncRNA from 1 species